AGUAUAAAAGGACAGAUUUUGUAUUCGUUUUAUUCAGUUACAAAUCAUCUUGGAACAGAAUGAAAUACUUCUUCAUCGUUUUAAUUGCGUUUAUCGCAUUCCAAUAUGUCAGCGCUGGUUUGGGAGGGGCUGGAAUAGACUCUAACAGUUGGGCGAAUGGAAUAGACCUUAUCGGCUCGUUGCCAGUGAAUGUGAAUAUUGGAGAAUGUGAUGAAAUUUUGGAUGGAAUUUUCUGUAUCGUCGGCGGCGUGGUACAUUCAAUACUUGAACCAAUACUUUGAUCGAAGUAGGACUUUAACGUUAACUUCAUCAAUCGAAUUUGUUACGAGUUAUUUUAACGACCAAAUCGAUUGUUAUAAAAUAAAGGAAAAUCGUAAUUAGAA